UACAAUAUAGAGAAGGAUAGUUAUUAGAUGAGACAGUCCAGUUCUCCUGGGCUUCUUAUGUGCUUGCUCAGGGUGCUAAGACUGCAAGCCCUGACAAGAGUUUUGCCUGGACCACUCCUCAGGAUUUAUGUAGUAAGCUUGAGGACAAAGAGCAGGCUUGCUGUCGACGCGUUGGAUUCCUCACACUGUUCCACGGCUGCGACACAAACCCCCUGCACACUUGGCAUUCAUCUAGACCCAUUGUGUUGCCCCUGUGGAACUGGGGACUUGAGGAACUGGCACAAGUAUGCUGACAUGCAUUCUGCAUGCUGUGCCCUGAGUGAUAAAGGUCUUUGCCUCUGACCCAGGGUCUUGUGUCUUCUGUCAGCAUCCACGAAACUCUGACAGGCUAACUUACUGGAUAAAAUCAAAUCCCAGAUUUGACAAUUUUGGCAGCGAGGAAUGGAAUGCUGAAAGAGACAUGAUUUUGUAGAAGAGGAACCGUUGGGCCAGGUUUGAGAAUUUUCGAUUGCCCCAUUGUGGACAUCUUGGAUUGAUUUACAGAUGUGCUACCCAUCACUGGAUUUGGGACCACUCCUGACAGAUUUUCAAAUCGUGGACUCUCUUCUCAAAAGGUGAAUUUCUGUCACUGAGAACAAAGUAAUCUACUCAUUUGAUAGACUGACCGUAAAAGGAAAGCCAGAAGCCUGAAGGCAAGGACUCCAUGGAGUG